AGUGAACGCUGGCGGUAGGCCUAACACAUGCAAGUCGAACGGCAGCACAGUAAGAGCUUGCUCUUACGGGUGGCGAGUGGCGGACGGGUGAGGAAUACAUCGGAAUCUACUUUUUCGUGGGGGAUAACGUAGGGAAACUUACGCUAAUACCGCAUACGACCUACGGGUGAAAGCAGGGGAUCUUCGGACCUUGCGCGAUUGAAUGAGCCGAUGUCGGAUUAGCUAGUUGGCGGGGUAAAGGCCCACCAAGGCGACGAUCCGUAGCUGGUCUGAGAGGAUGAUCAGCCACACUGGAACUGAGACACGGUCCAGACUCCUACGGGAGGCAGCAGUGGGGAAUAUUGGACAAUGGGCGCAAGCCUGAUCCAGCCAUACCGCGUGGGUGAAGAAGGCCUUCGGGUUGUAAAGCCCUUUUGUUGGGAAAGAAGAGCAGCAGGUUAAUACCCCGCUGUUCUGACGGUACCCAAAGAAUAAGCACCGGCUAACUCCGUG
rnacentral:rRNA from 1 species